rnacentral:rRNA from 1 species
ACGGAGGGUGCAAGCGUUACUCGGAAUUACUGGGCGUAAAGGACGCGUAGGCGGAUAGAAAAGUUGGAUGUGAAAUCCUAUGGCUCAACCAUAGAACUGCAUCCAAAACUCUCUAUCUAGAGUGAGGGAGAGGUCAGUGGAAUUAGUGGUGUAGGGGUAAAAUCCGUAGAGAUCACUAGGAAUACUCAUUGCGAAGGCGACUGACUGGAACUUAACUGACGCUGAGGCGUGAAAGCGUGGGGAGCAAACAGGAUUAGAUACCCUGGUAGUCCACGCCCUAAACGAUGUACACUAGUUGUUGGAGUGCAAGUCACUCCAGUAAUGCAGCUAACGCAUUAAGUGUACCGCCUGGGGAGUACGGUCGCAAGAUUAAAACUCAAAGGAAUAGACGGGGACCCGCACAAGCGGUGGAGCAUGUGGUUUAAUUCGAAGAUACGCGAAGAACCUUACCUGGGCUUGACAUCCCAAGAACUCUCCAGAGAUGGAGAGGUGCCGGCUUGCCGGAACUUGGUGACAGGUGCUGCACGGCUGUCGUCAGCUCGUGUCGUGAGAUGUUGGGUUAAGUCCCGCAACGAGCGCAACCCUCGUCGUUAGUUGCUAACAGUUCGGCUGAGCACUCUAACGAGACUGCCUUCGUAAGGAGGAGGAAGGUGAGGACGACGUCAAGUCAUCAUGGCCCUUAUGUCCAGGGCUACACACGUGCUACAAUGGGAAGGACAAUGAGAGGCAAUACCGCGAGGUGGAGCAAAUCUAUAAACCUUCUCUCAGUUCGGAUAGCACUCUGCAACUCGAGUGCUUGAAGCUGGAAUCGCUAGUAAUCGUAGAUCAGCAAUGCUACGGUGAAUACGUUCCCGGGUCUUGCACACACCUCCCGUC